rnacentral:rRNA from 1 species
AGCAGCCGCGGUAAUUCCAGCUCCAAUAGCGUAUAUUAAAGUUGUUGCAGUUAAAAAGCUCGUAGUUGAAUUUCGGGAUUGACGUGAUGGUCAUGCCUUAAGGGGUAUGAACUGUUGCUGUUGAUUUCUCACCUUCUGGAGAAACUUGAUGUCCUUUAUUGGGUGUCUUGCGGAACCAGGACCUUUACCUUGAAAAAAUUAGAGUGUUUAAAGCAGGCAUUUUUGCUCGAAUACAUUAGCAUGGAAUAAUAGAAUAGGACGGCAUGGUUCUAUUUUGUUGGUUUCUAGGAUCACCGUAAUGAUUAAUAGGGAUAGUUGGGGGCAUUAGUAUUCAAUUGUCAGAGGUGAAAUUCUUGGAUUUAUUGAAGACUAACUACUGCGAAAGCAUUUGCCAAGGAUGUUUUCAUUAAUCAAGAACGAAAGUUAGGGGAUCGAAGACGAUCAGAUACCGUCGUAGUCUUAACCAUAAACUAUGCCGACUAGGAAUCAGACGAUGUUAAUUUUUUAAUGACUCGUUUGGCACCUUACG